rnacentral:rRNA from 1 species
UACAGAGGUCUCAAGCGUUGUUCGGAUUCAUUGGGCGUAAAGGGUGCGUAGGCGGCGCGGUAAGUCGGGUGUGAAAUCUCGGGGCUUAACUCGGAAACUGCAUUCGAUACUGCCGUGCUUGAGGACUGGAGAGGAGACUGGAAUUUACGGUGUAGCGGUGAAAUGCGUAGAUAUCGUAAGGAAGACCAGUGGCGAAGGCGGGGUCUCUGGACAGUUCCUGACGCUGAGGCACGAAGGCCAGGGGAGCAAAACGGGG